GACGAACGCUGGCGGCGUGCCUAAUACAUGCAAGUCGAGCGCAGUGGGGACGGGUGAGUAACACGUGGGUAACCUCCCAUCAGAGGGGAUAACACUUGGAAACAGGUGCUAAACCGAUAUUGAUGUAUGGACCCGCGGUGCAUUCGCUAGUGGGGGGGGUAACGGCUCACCAAGGCCACGAUGCAUAGCCGGCCGGAGAGGGGUACCGGCCACACUGGGACUGAGACACGGCCCAGACUCCUACGGGAGGCAGCAGUGGGGAAUCUUCGGCAAUGGACGAAAGUCUGACCGAGCAACGCCGCGGGAGUGAAGAAGGUUUUCGGGUCGUAAAGCACUGUUGUCAGAGAAGCGGUAUCUGACCAGAAAGCCCCGGCUAACUACGUGCCAGCCGCCGCGGUAAUAC
rnacentral:rRNA from 1 species